rnacentral:rRNA from 1 species
GACGGAGGAUGCAAGUGUUAUCCGGAAUCACUGGGCGUGAAGCGUCUGUAGGUGGUCCAAUAAGUCAACUGUUAAAUCUUGGGGCUCAACCUCAAAAUCGCAGUCGAAACUAUUAGACUAGAGUAUAGUAGGGGUAAAGGGAAUUUCCAGUGGAGCGGUGAAAUGCGUAGAUAUUGGAAAGAACACCGAUGGCGAAGGCACUUUACUGGGCUAUUACUAACACUCAGAGACGAAAGCUAGGGUAGCAAAUGGG